rnacentral:rRNA from 1 species
UAGCAUAUCAAUAAGCGGAGGAAAAGAAACUAACAAGGAUUCCCCUAGUAACUGCGAGUGAAGCGGGAAAAGCUCAAAUUUGAAAUCUGGCAGCUCUCGAACUGUCCGAAUUGUAAUCUAGAGAAGUGUUACCUGUGCUGGACCGUGUACAAGUCUCCUGGAAUGGAGCAUCAUAGAGGGUGAGAAUCCCGUCUUUGACAUGGACUGCCUGUACGUUAUGGUGCGCUCUCGAAGAGUCGAGUUGUUUGGGAAUGCAGCUCAAAAAUGGGUGGUAAAUGCCAUCUAAAGCUAAAUAUUGGCGAGAGACCGAUAGCGAACAAGUACCGUGAGGGAAAGAUGAAAAGAACUUUGGAAAGAGAGUUAAACAGUACGUGAAAUUGCUGAAAGGGAAACGCUUGAAGUCAGUCGCGUCGGCUAGAAAUCAGCCUUGCUUUUGCUUGGUGUACUUUCUGGUUGACGGGUCAGCAUCAAUUUCGACCAUUGGAUAAAGUCGAUGGGAAUGUGGCAUCUUAGGAUGUUUUAUAGCCCAUUGUCGCAUACGGUGGUUGGGAUUGAGGAACUCAGCACGCCACAAAGGCCGGGUCUUUCUUUGACCACGUUCGUGCUUAGGAUGCUGGCAUAAUGGCUUUAAUCGACCCGUCUUGAAACACGGACCAAGGAGUCUAACAUGCCUGCGAGUGUUUGGGUGGAAAACCCAUGCGCGCAAUGAAAGUGAAAGUUGAGAUCCCCUUUUCUGGGGAGCAUUGACGCCCGGACCAGACCUUUUGCGACGGAUCCGCGGUAGAGCAUGUAUGUUGGGACCCGAAAGAUGGUGAACUAUGCCUGAAUAGGGUGAAGCCAGAGGAAACUCUGGUGGAGGCUCGUAGCGAUUCUGACGUGCAAAUCGAUCGUCAAAUUUGGGUAUAGGGGCGAAAGACUAAUCGAACCAUCUAGUAGCUGGUUCCUGCGAGCU